UACGUAGGGGGCAAGCGUUGUCCGGAAUCAUUGGGCGUAAAGAGCGCGUAGGCGGUCCGGUAAGUCCGCUCUGAAAGUCCGGGGCUCAACCCCGGGAGGCGGGUGGAUACUGUCGGGCUAGAGUCCGGAAGAGGCGAGUGGAAAUUCCUGGUGUAGCGGUGAAAUGCGCAGAGUAUCAGGAGGAACACCAAUGGACGAAGGCAGCUCGCUGGGACGGUACUGACGCUGAGGCGCGAAAGCGUGGGGAGCAAACAGG
rnacentral:rRNA from 1 species